rnacentral:rRNA from 1 species
CACGUAGGCACCAAGCGUUGUCCGGAUUUACUGGGCGUAAAGAGCGCGCAGGCGGUCGAUUUAGUCGCGUGUGAAAGCCCCCGGCUCAACUGGGGAGGGUCACGCGAUACUGAUCGACUCGAAGGCAGGAGAGGGUAGUGGAAUUCCCGGUGUAGUGGUGAAAUGCGUAGAUAUCGGGAGGAACACCAGUGGCGAAGGCGACUACCUGGCCUGUUCUUGACGCUGAGGCGCGAAAGCUAGGGGAGCAAACGGG